rnacentral:lncRNA from 1 species
AGGGUGUGUAGAGAGCUCUCUACUUGUUCCUAGAAAAAAAGUUGCACCAACUCGCUCCCACCCUUCCUUUUUGUUAGAAAUCGAGUCACUUGGAUUGCUCACAAUCACACUCACGAACAUAGAAUUUUGGAACACAGGAAAUGAGAGGAAGAGGGAGCUAUGUAUUCACUUUCCUUCAGUUCUUGUUUCUCCAUACAAGCAUGAAAGUGAUCCUCCUAUUUAUAGAGAUGCAAAGAGAAUGGAUACAAAACAUCUAUAGUGUUUGAACACUAAGACUCUCCUCCUCCCUUUCAUUUAAUUGGACACCAUUCAAAGUCAUUAGUUCACAUUGUUUUUUGACUUUGAUUCACAACACUCCCCCUUGGCCAAUUAUAUGUCAUGUGUAUGCCUCGUUAAAAACUCCCCCCAAAAACCCAGUGGGAAAAAAGGGUAGGAGAAAAGAGUACAUCACACGCAUCGUUUAUGUUGCACAUGUUGCCUCGUUAAAAACCUUGCAUGAGAAAACCCAGUGGGAAAAACUCAUCAAGGAAAAAAGAGUACAACAGUUGAUGUUCAGGUCGGUCUUCAGGACCGACUCAUGAUCUUCAGAACCACGGUCAUAGAUUAUGUCUUUGGGGCUGGUCUCCCCUAAACCCUGCAACUCUCUAAGCCGCCUCAUACCAAUUCCAUGGAUGCACUUAUAGAAGCUAGAGGCGGGUAAAGAUUUUGUGAAAAGAUCUGCGAGGUUAUCGCAUGAUCUUGCUUGCAGGAUAUUUAUCUCCCCGCUCUUCUGGAGCUCAUGGGGAUAAAAGGACUU